GGGCGGUAAGGGUGAAACGGUGCGGUAAGAGCGCACCAGCGCUCCGGGUGACCGGAGCGGCUAGGCAAACCCCACCCGAAGCAAGGCCAAGAAUGUCGCACCGGGAUCGCGGCAGCGCAGGCGUAUGAGGGCUGCUCGCCCGAGUCUGUGGGUAGGCCGCUUGAGGCACCCGGUAACGGUGUGCCCAGAUGGAUGGUCGCCACUUCGCUGCCAGAAGGCAGUGAGGAACAGAAUCCGGCUUACAGGCCAGCUCAUCCG
rnacentral:RNase_P_RNA from 1 species